UACGAAGGGUGCAAGCGUUAUUCGGAAUUACUGGGCGUAAAGCGUGCGUAGGUGGUUCGUUAAGUCUGAUGUGAAAGCCCUGGGCUCAACCUGGGAAUGGCAUUGGAUACUGGCGACCUAGAGUGCGGUAGAGGGGUGUGGAAUUCCCGGUGUAGCAGUGAAAUGCGUAGAUAUCGGGAGGAACAUCUGUGGCGAAGGCGACACCCUGGACCAGCACUGACACUGAGGCACGAAGGCCAGGGGAGCAAACGGG
rnacentral:rRNA from 1 species